UGUAGAGUGUUGCAGCAAUGAUUGCCAUCGUGAAAUUGCAACAAACAAAAUCACCAAAAACCCGUACUCUCGUCAGCCAAAGUAACACCAAUAAUUCAUGAAGUCGACAAACCGGCAACUUUGAAACUGGUUAUACUUGUCUCGCUUUGUCGAAAUUUUGGUUUUCCGCCCUUUUUUUUAAAUACAUUGUAUUGAAUUUCCUAUCCAAUCGCUAAUUUUUCGGAUGGACGCGGUAUAAAUGGACUUUAAGCUCAACAUCGUACCUUUAAAACUUCCAUUAUAUGAGCUUUGAAAUGAUUCUUUUUGAAAAAUGAUAAUUUUAAAAGUGAAACCUUUAAAAAGUGUGUUUAUUCAUAAAAUGUGGUUUACUGAAAGCUUUGUUAUUGUGAUUUUCCUCUUUCAUAACGUAUGCUCUAGUUGUGUUUUCCAGGAUCAGGGUGGUGAAUAUGACCUGUCGUUAUUAGAUUGAUAUAUAUGGAAGGAGUUCAGCAGCUGAAAUAUUGCAAUAGAAGAAAUGUACGUAAGAUCCAGCUCUUUGUCAUGUAAAUUUAAAAUUAAUUAUUUUAGCUUAAAUUCCACAUUAUAAGAAUUUGGCUCUGAAGUAUUUAUAAUUUAAGCUCAUAACGAGAUCCUUAAAGACAUCUAUUCUAUGUACUUAAAUUAUGGCAGAGGAAAAUGUAUCUCAUUUAUUUUUUAACCAGUUAUUUUAUGCUAAUAAAUGUUCCUAACCUCUU